GACCCCUGAAAGACGAUCAGGUUGAUAGGUUCGAGGUGGAAGUGCAGCAAUGCAUGCAGCUGACGAAUACUAAUCGGUCGAGGGCUUAUCCUA
rnacentral:rRNA from 1 species